UGGGGAAUAUUGCACAAUGGGCGCAAGCCUGAUGCAGCGACGCCGCGUGAGGGAUGGAGGCCUUCGGGUUGUAAACCUCUUUCGCCAGUGAAGCAGGCCAUCUUCUUUGUGGGGUGGUUGACGGUAGCUGGAUAAGAAGCGCCGGCUAACUACGUGCCAGCAGCCGCGGUAAUACGUAGGGCGCGAGCGUUGUCCGGAAUUAUUGGGCGUAAAGAGCUCGUAGGCGGCUGGUCUCGUCUGUCGUGAAAUCCCCUGGCUUAACGGGGGGCUUGCGGUGGGUACGGGCCGGCUUGAGUGCGGUAGGGGGGACUAGAAUUCCUGGUGUAGCGGUGGAAUGCGCAGAUAUCAGGAGGAACACCGGUGGCGAAGGCGGGUCUCUGGGCCGUUACUGACGCUGAGGAGCGAAAGCGUGGGGAGCGAACAGG
rnacentral:rRNA from 1 species